rnacentral:misc_RNA from 1 species
CUGCGACCGCCGCAUCCCCCGUCCUCCUCGACAAAUGCCACCACCGCCUUCCUCUUCCUCACCAGUGCCACCCUCAUCAUCGCCUCCGCCAGGCUCUCCUACACCAACAUUGAGCCCCAGUGUGCCAAGGCCACCGACAGGCGACACAUGCUCGAGGCCUUCAUCAACCACAAGCUCGGAGGAGGAGGGUCCGCCAACGCCUCCUCUCCACAGCAUCAAGAGCAGGAUCUAUCCCGAAGCACCUAG